GACAGAGGGUGCAAACGUUGUUCGGAUUUACUGGGCGUAAAGCGUGUGUAGGCGGCUUGGCAAGUUGGAUGUGAAAGCCCACGGCUCAACCGUGGAAGCGCACCCAAAACUGCUUCGCUCGAGUCCCGGAGAGGAAGGUGGAAUGCUUGGUGUAGAGGUGAAAUUCGUAGAUAUCAAGCAGAACACCUGCGGCGAAGGCGGCCUUCUGGACGAUGACUGACGCUGAGACACGAAAGCGUGGGGAGCAAACGGG
rnacentral:rRNA from 1 species